GGCUUUGAGCCAGCUUGCCUUCCCACUAGCUGUGUGACCUUAACAGAAUUUCCAGAAGUCUCUAAAGGUUCAAGUUCAAGAGGUUGUGAGGUAGAAGGACGAGGCCCAGAGAAGCUUGGUGGAGAACGGCUGACUGGUCCACGCAUGUGGGUCAAACUAGCACCGGCAAGUGUAUGUAGGACUCCCGCUUUCCUUAGCCGAUUACUGCCAAUGCCCAUUGACUUCCAUGUAUGUACCCGGAGGAUCUUCUGGCCGCAGUUGGCUGCAGUUGGAGCUUGUCGUUUCCGGUGGCUGUAAGUAGCAUCUGGUAGCACUUCAUCCCACAAUAUAGAAACAAUGUAGCAGGCAACACAGAGGAAGCUGGCUUAGACUGAAGAAAGUUGAAGCAAACUGAGGACAGAAAAGCUCUGUGGCUACUUGUAAGUGACCUACCUUGUAAGGAAACAGAACAAUAGGAAAGUGGUGGAUAACAGGUAUUUAUGAAUGAGAAUGGCCCCCCAUAGGCUGAUAUGUUUGAAUACUUGGUCCUCAGUUGAACUGUUUGGAGAGAAUUAGAGGUGAGGCCUUAUUGAAGGAUGUAUGUCACUGGGGUGGGCCAUGAGGCUUCAAAAGCCUGAUACCAUUCCAAGUAUCUGUCUCUAACUCUGAUUGUGUCUGAGCUCUCAGCUGUCUCUGCUGCCAUGCCUUUUUGAUGCUGUCAUGGACUCUAACCCUUAGAAACCAACCGUAAGUCCAGUUAAAGGCUUUCCUUGGUCAUGAUAUUCUGUCACAUUAGUAGAAAAGCUACUGUGGUGGUUUGAAUACGCUUGGCCCACAGGAAGUGGUACUCUAAGGAGGUGCGGCCUUGUUGGAGGAGUGCUUCACUGUAGAGGUUCCCUUUGAAGCUCUGACCAGUGUGGAAGAGUCAGUGUGGCUACAGUCAGAUUAAGAUGUAGAACUCUCAGCUCCUUCUCCAGCGUCAUGUCUGCCUGCAUUCUGCCUUCUUCCUGCCAUGAUGACAAUGGACUAAACCUAUGAGACUGUAAGCCAGCCCCAAUUAAAUGUUUGCUUUUAUAAGA